AACUUUCCUUAUGGUCAUCUUUGGGUGGAGCCACCACUUCCAGUUCUGAUCUUCUCAUUCUGGUUGAGUACCUGGGCUUGCCAGUGCACCCCCCAGGAACACCGCCUAGUCCAGGGCUCCCACAGGUCUCAGACUGACAGGAGACUGGGUCAUAUGACCAGCACUAGCCAAUGAGCUGUGAGUACACGUGACACAGGGACAAGCUGGGUCAUGUGACUGGCACUAGCCAAUGAGCUGUGAGGACGUGAGCACAGGUCCAGCUAGGCUGGGUCAUAUGACAAGCAUUAGCCAAUGAGCUGUGAGGACACGUGAGUACAGGUCCAGCUAGGCUGGGACAUGUGACUGGCACUGGCCCAUGGGCUGUGAGCACAGGUCAGGUCAGCCCCUUCCUGCUGCUUCCCACCGUGUGUGCUCCUUGUCUGACUUGAUAUGAGAACUAACCCAAUAUGGCAGGAAGCCACUGACAUGUGGGAGCCGUGCAUGGCAGUGGCCAGCGUCCUUGUCCUGCGGGGGCUCUGUGGACAUCACUCGCCUUCAGAACACUGAGCCCUCCUACCUCCUGAUAUCCAGGGCUGCCGAUGGGAAAUCCCAGGCUGCCGCGGCUCCUGUGUGCUUUGAAGUUUUCAGGAUUUUUGUCAAACAUCCGGGGACCCUUAGCUGGAGAGGAUGGCAUGGGUGACACGCAGCUGGCCAGGGUGCGCGACUCUGCUCUCAAGACCCCCUGGAGGCCCGCCCCCUGCCCCCCACCAGCUCAUUCGUUAGAUGAUUGGAAGUGACUGCCUACGUCUUCUUUCAGGAUAAAGCCUCAAGUCCUGCAACUAUU
rnacentral:lncRNA from 1 species